rnacentral:rRNA from 1 species
GCUGUCGGUUCGCCGCCCGUCGGUGUCAACUGGCAUGUCCUGUGGAACGUCCUGCCGGUGGCGGUCCGGGCUUUCGGCUUGCGUAAGGGCUCACGCCCGAAGCAGGCCGAACAGUACCGGCCGCCGGUCCAAUCCCGCCACGGUGCUCUUCACCGAGUGUCGAGGUGGGCCGGCACGUUUACUUUGAACAAAUUAGAGUGCUUAAAGCAGGCUGGUGUCCGCCUGAAUACUGUGUGCAUGGAAUAAUAGAAUAGGACCUCGGUUCUAUUUUGUUGGUUUUCGGAACCCGAGGUAAUGAUUAAUAGGGACAGGCGGGGGCAUUCGUAUUGCGACGUUAGAGGUGAAAUUCUUGGAUCGUCGCAAGACGAACCUAAGCGAAAGCAUUUGCCAAGUAUGUUCUCGUUAAUCAAGAACGAAAGUUAGAGGUUCGAAGGCGAUCAGAUACCGCCCUAGUUCUAACCAUAAACGAUGCCAGCCAGCGAUCCGCCGAAGUUCCUCCGAUGACUCGGCGGGCAGCUUCCGGGAAACCAAAGCUUUUGGGUUCCGGGGGAAGUAUGGUUGCAAAGCUGAAACUUAAAGGAAUUGACGGAAGGGCACCACCAGGAGUGGAGCCUGCGGCUUAAUUUGACUCAACACGGGAAACCUCACCAGGCCCGGACACCGGAAGGAUUGACAGAUUGAGAGCUCUUUCUUGAUUCGGUGGGUGGUGGUGCAU